CUCAAAAAUAGACUUUUAUUCUAAAAAGGAAAGGCCUAAACCAAUCCUUAACUAAUAAGGUAACAUAAACUGAUUAGGAAACUAAAAUAAUAAAGGAAAUUGACUCAAAACAGGAUUGGACUUACAGAAUCCUAAUCCAGCCUAACUAAAACACUUAAUAACAAUUAAAAUAAAGAAAUAAAGACACUUAACUACUUUCUUAGGUCUAGCUUUUACCCCUAUUAUAGGCCCA